rnacentral:rRNA from 1 species
GAUGAACGCUGGCGGCGUGCCUAAUACAUGCAAGUCGAGCGAACAGACGAGGAGCUUGCUCCUCUGACGUUAGCGGCGGACGGGUGAGUAACACGUGGAUAACCUACCUAUAAGACUGGGAUAACUUCGGGAAACCGGAGCUAAUACCGGAUAAUAUAUUGAACCGCAUGGUUCAAUAGUGAAAGACGGUUUUGCUGUCACUUAUAGAUGGAUCCGCGCCGCAUUAGCUAGUUGGUAAGGUAACGGCUUACCAAGGCGACGAUGCGUAGCCGACCUGAGAGGGUGAUCGCCCACACUGGAACUGAGACACGGUCCAGACUCCUACGGGAGGCAGCAGUAGGGAAUCUUCCGCAAUGGGCGAAAGCCUGACGGAGCAACGCCGCGUGAGUGAUGAAGGUCUUCGGAUCGUAAAACUCUGUUAUUAGGGAAGAACAAAUGUGUAAGUAACUAUGCACGUCUUGACGGUACCUAAUCAGAAAGCCACGGCUAACUACGUG